rnacentral:lncRNA from 1 species
GAUUUGGACUCAAAAAAAUAUCAAAUUUUACAUAACCCGGUCCGUAAUCCGAUUUAAAAUGAAUAGAAGUUAGGUCCGCGAUCCGGCCGAUGAUUAGCUCUAUCUGUCUUGCAGAAAUAUGGGCCAGAUGACCAUUUGGGCCUCGCUCCUACCGAAGAGGCCUUCACUAUAAGGCCUCCUUAAUAUGUUCUUCCAUUGGUAAUCAUUCCUAAAUCACUUAGGUGGCGUAGGCAC